AGAGUUUGAUCCUGGCUCAGGAUAAACGCUGGCGGCGCACAUAAGACAUGCAAGUCGAACGAACUUAACUCAUUCUUUUAGUUUGAGAGCGGUUAGUGGCGGACUGGUGAGUAACACGUAAGCAACCUGCCUAUUAGAGGGGAAUAACAGUGAGAAAUCAUUGCUAAUACCGCAUAUGCUAACAGUAUCGCAUGAUACAGUUAGGAAAGGAGUAAUCCGCUAAUAGAUGGGCUUGCGCCUGAUUAGCUAGUUGGUGGGGCAAUGGCCUACCAAGGCGACGAUCAGUAGCCGGACUGAGAGGUUGAACGGCCACAUUGGGACUGAGAUACGGCCAGACUCCUACGGGAGGCAGCAGUCGGGAAUAUUGCGCAAUGGAGGAAACUCUGACGCAGUGACGCCGCGUAUAGGAAGAAGGUUUUCGGAUUGUAAACUACUGUCGUUAGGGAAGAUACAAGACAGUACCUAAGGAGGAAGCCCCGGCUAACUAUGUGCCAGCAGCCGCGGUAAUACAUAGGGGGCAAGCGUUAUCCGGAAUUAUUGGGUGUAAAGGGUGCGUAGACGGAGGAGCAAGUUGGUUGUGAAAUCCCUCGGCUUAACUGAGGAACUGCAACCAAAACUACUUCCCUUGAGUGUCGGAGAGGAAAGUGGAAUUCCUAGUGUAACGGUGAAAUGCGUAGAUAUUAGGAGGAACACCAGUGGCGAAGGCGACUUUCUGGACGAUAACUGACGUUGAGGCACGAAAGUGUGGGGAGCAAACAGGAUUAGAUACCCUGGUAGUCCACACCGUAAACGAUGGAUAC
rnacentral:rRNA from 1 species